CCUUCCCUUACUAAUUGGGCUAGCCACAGGUGAUCUCAUAGGUGAUACCAUGUAGGAAGGAACUGCCUUGCUUCUCUGGGAAUUGGAUUUUGACUGAUUUGAAUUAGAAGCAACACUACGUUCCCUCUUGAACACUAAAGGUUUGUCAUCAUCGCUGUCUUCAUACCCACUUAUCCUCAUGAACACUAAAGGUUUGUCAUCAUCACUGUCUUCAUACCCACUUUUCCUCUUGAACACUAAAGGCUCGUCAGCAGAACUGUCUUCAUACCCAUUAUACAUCACAGAUUCUGAUACAGUUUUGCUGGAAGGAACUGUCUUAGAAGCAACACUACUUUUCCUCUUGAACACCAAAGGUUUGUCAUCAUCGCUGUCUUCAUACCCAUUAUUUAUUGGUUUGGGUGAAACCAAAACCCUUCCCUUACUAUUUGGGCUAGCCACAG
rnacentral:lncRNA from 1 species